GAGUUCGAUCCUGGCUCAGGAUGAAUGCUGGCGGCAUGAUUAACACAUGCAAGUCGGAUGGGAAACACGGGAAAUAGUGUUUCCAGUGGCGUAUGGGUGAGUAACACGUAAGAACCUGCCCUUGGGAGGGGAACAACAGCUGAAAACGGCUGCUAAUACCCCGUAGGCUGAGGACCAAAAGGAGAAAUCCGCCCGAGGAGGGGCUCGCGUCUGAUUAGCUAGUUGGUGAGGCAAUAGCUUACUAAGGCGAUGAUCAGUAGCUGGUCUGAGAGGAUGAUCAUCCACACUGGGACUGAGACAUGGCCCAGACUCCUACGGGAGGCAGCAGUGGGGAAUUUUCCACAAUGGGCGAAACCCUGAUGGAGCAAUGCCGCGUGGAGGUAGAAGUCCCACGGGUCAUGAACUUAUUUUCCCGAUGUUGCAUUUCUAAUUGGGCUUGGUGCUUUAUUC
rnacentral:ncRNA from 1 species